rnacentral:lncRNA from 1 species
AACCAUUGCACAUGAUCUCAUGUGUGCCUUCAUCAUGGAAAAAUAGAGUGGAUAUCUCCAAGUUCUAAGGUUGAGCAAAUCAAACAUACAUAAUAUUGUCCAAAAACCCGCAUUUUUUCUCACUAAAACAAACUUCUGUACUUGCAUACAACCAUCUUUGAACUUGGACGGCAUCUAGCGCUCAACUUGGACGAUGACCAGUGCUCAACUUGAACGGAGGAGAUUGUCGUUGCUUUUAACCAUGAAUGCUUCUAAAGAUACUAGGAAUUGCUUCGGAACUUCUUUAUACUUUUCAACAUGAGGGUUCUCUCAGCUAGGCCAAGAAGUAACCCAUACAUCUUAUUUUUGUUCUACAAGAACGAAACACUACAAUAAUUAACAACUAAUCUAUCAGUACAUCCAGAACAAUUUCAGUUUUUAGAACAAACUUCCAUUGAUGUGUUAAACUCUGAAUCUGUAUAUAGGACAUGAUGGGUCUCAGGCUACUUACAAAAUAGGUUGCAUUAGGGGAGAAAUUACCUCUAUCUCCUGCCCGGAUAGAGGAUACGUACUUCCAAUACACGAACAACAGAACUGAAGUGGCUCUUGUCACCGAUCUGCAGU